rnacentral:rRNA from 1 species
UACGUAGGGUGCGAGCGUUGUCCGGAAUUAUUGGGCGUAAAGGGCUCGUAGGCGGUCUGUUGCGUCGGGAGUGAAAACUCAGGGCCUUAACCCUGAGCCUGCUCCGAUACGGGCAGACUAGAGGUAGGCAGGGGAGAGCGGAACUCCUGGUGUAGCGGUGGAAUGCGCCAGAUAUCAGGAGGAACACCAAUGGCGAAGGCAGCACUCUGGGACGUGACUGACGCUGAGACGCGAAAGCGUGGGAGCAACAGGAU